rnacentral:rRNA from 1 species
UGGGGAAUAUUGCACAAUGGGCGCAAGCCUGAUGCAGCCAUGCCGCGUGUGUGAAGAAGGCCUUCGGGUUGUAAAGCACUUUCAGCGAGGAGGAAGGUGGUGGACUUAAUACGUUCAUCAAUUGACGUUACUCGCAGAAGAAGCACCGGCUAACUCCGUGCCAGCAGCCGCGGUAAUACGGAGGGUGCAAGCGUUAAUCGGAAUUACUGGGCGUAAAGCGCACGCAGGCGGUUUGUUAAGUCAGAUGUGAAAUCCCCGGGCUCAACCUGGGAACUGCAUUUGAAACUGGCAAGCUAGAGUCUCGUAGAGGGGGGUAGAAUUCCAGGUGUAGCGGUGAAAUGCGUAGAGAUCUGGAGGAAUACCGGUGGCGAAGGCGGCCCCCCUGGACGAAGACUGACGCUCAGGUGCGAAAGCGUGGGGAGC